UAGACACAUAAGCUUGACAAGCCAUGCACAUGAGCGCCACGUGUAUAAAAUUAAAAAAAAAAAAUCAUUCAAAAACAACAUUUAAAAAAAAAACAUGAAAAAUUAAUAUACAACUAAGUUAAGGUACAAGAUGCAUGCUCCCCCUUCCCUUUCUCAGCUCGUUAUAAGAUGCAGUACAUCUUCUGUAUCUGUACUUCAGUUUUUGCAUGUACUACAAAAAUCUGAUAUGCUAUAUAUAAGAAACCGUGAAAACUCCCAUGAUGAUCGAUCCAUUAAUAUCUUCCCUCAAAUUUCUUCAACCUCUUAAUUAAUUACAGCUGAUCCAUUGCAAAUGCUUUAAUUUGGUCUCCAACACAUCUCAUUCGACGUUUCAUGUACUUCCAAGCUCUUUCAGUCUGGUGUCCCAACAUCGAUCUGGUGUGUCUGAUCCGAUCAAUACAUUUUGGUUACAUGGGACUCGAUCGAGUACUGUCUGAGGUGCUCCAGAUGAAACUAGGCCAACCCAAAGGUAAUUAAUUAAUUAGGAUUUAUCUCUAUAAUAGAUUUGAUCAAUAGUAAUAACGAGUGGGGGUAAAACUUUCUUUAUAAAAACACCUCAAGAACUAUCUAUUUUUAUUUAUCUUUUGAAAAACUAACUCUUUAUUUCCAAACAUGAGCUGAGUCAGCGGAGUUGGAAGCUAUCUCUAACGACAACAAGUACGAUAAGUCAUGUGGUCAAAUAGAUCAUAAACGACUUUUGAAGGGUAGCUAGCUUGCUUUAGAGUGAGUUCUUUCUUUCUUGUUUGUUCUCUCAAAGAUGGAUUGAUCAAUUCAUUGGGGAGAUCAGCAAAUUAAGCUAGCGAAGUUCGUUUUGUAUUCAAUUUUCCAAAGAUGACAAUGCACCCUUAGAUAUAUGUUUUAAGGUUAAUGAGAUAUUAAUUGUUCCACUAAUUUAAUUAGUUGGAUAUGUACUAAUGACCAAUGUUGUAGUUUUCUAUAUAUAUAUAUAGAAAAUACUUUAGCCACAAACGGAUUACACAAAAGUAAACUCAUAAACUUAUGUGGCUUUAUAUGGUUCGUCAUAGUUAUUUUUAUUACAAAUCAGAUUUAACGAAUUUCAUGAAACUAUAUCAGUUUGUAAGUUUAUUUUGUAUAAUUUUUUUAUAUUUGUAGCAGUUAUCUAUAUGUGCCAAUUGAUCAAAGUAGUCACAGAAAAAUUUAAGUGAUCAAGUGAAUAUAGAGUGUAUUUCCUAGUGUCUGGUGAGGGGAUCAGUUGCAGAUCAAAUGGAACUAAACAAGAUAGCUAGGCUUGAUCUUUGGGUUUCUGGGGUUUUUGUUUUUGGAUGGGAUACUACUUUGUAAGGCCAAAAACGUCCAUGCCACUACAACUUUAUUGUAAGUUUCUGCUAUAUAUAUUAAUCUCAUGCUUCUAAUUCAGGCAUCGAUGGAUGAUCAGGGCCUUAUUGUCACGGCUAGCUUUAACACAUGAAUUAAUAUAGAAAUUAAUGCAUCAGUUCAUCAAAUCUAACUAAAUUUGGAGAAAAACAUGUAUGCACGUAGGUACAGUAUACUAUAUGUUGUCUCUGUUUUCACUACUUUAGUAGAGUAUUCUCCUCCAGAAAUGUAACAUGUUCAUAUGGAAGAGAGCUUGCUGAAGAAACAUCAACUGAGGCCAGAGCAAAGGAAUACAAAACUACUUUUUCCCCAAAACAUUUUCUCCAGCUGGCCGCUCGCUGUAGACUUACAAAAUUUGGAGUAUAAAAGUAAAUAUAUUCAUUCAACGAUGGGAAAGUUCCGACCAACUACGCGUCUUUACACCUUUAAUUUGUCGGUUGAAAACCAAGCAGGCACCGAGUGAAGCAAACAAGGAAUCUAUGGUCGGAUGGUCUUGAAAACAUUGCACAAUACCCUAUUCAACCAGGAAAAAACUUCACAUAUGAGGUUAUAUUUUCAGAUGAGGAAGGAACUCUUUGGUGGCAUGCCCACAAUGAUUGGUCCCGGGCCACCAUUCAUGGUGCCAUUGUCAUCUUACCUGAAAACGGUAACUGAUUAGAGAAUAUAACGUUAUCAAAUUGCAAAAUCUUCUUGAUUUGAAAAUUUUAAUUUUAUAAAA